rnacentral:rRNA from 1 species
CCUACGGGAGGCAGCAGUCGAGAAUUUUUCUCAAUGGGGGAAACCCUGAAGGAGCGACGCCGCGUGGAGGAUGAAGGUCUUCGGAUUGUAAACUCCUGUCAUUUGGGAACUAGUACCAGAAGAGGAAGAGACGGCUAACUCAGUGCCAGCAGCCGCGGUAAUACAGAGGUCUCAAGCGUUGUUCGGAUUCAUUGGGCGUAAAGGGUGCGUAGGUGGCGGGGUAAGUCAGGUGUGAAAUCUCGAGGCUCAACCUCGAAACUGCACUUGAUACUGCCUUGCUCGAGUACUGGAGAGGAGAUUGGAAUUUACGGUGUAGCAGUGAAAUGCGUAGAUAUCGUAAGGAAGACCAGUGGCGAAGGCGAAUCUCUGGACAGUACUGACACUGAGGCACGAAGGCCAGGGGAGCAAACGGGAUUAGAUACCCUUGUAGUC